rnacentral:lncRNA from 1 species
GGAAGCACAGGAAGUGGACAAAGAGGCCCUACCUGGAGGGAGCUGCAUUUGGCCUUGAUGGGGCCUGAGCUCUGGACCCAGAAUAUAAAGACUCUUUAUCUUUCAGCCACCUCAUCCUGACAGUGACAGGAGAACUGCCAGUCAGGGGAGGCAAAAAGGGACAGAGUGAGGGAGAAGCGAGAAGGCAGAAUGUAAAGGGAGAG